CAGUAGCCGCGGUAAUACGUAGGGUGCGAGCGUUAAUCGGAAUUACUGGGCGUAAAGCGUGCGCAGGCGGUUGUGUAAGACAGGUGUGAAAUCCCCGGGCUUAACCUGGGAACUGCGCUUGUGACUGCACAGCUAGAGUAUGGCAGAGGGGGGUGGAAUUCCACGUGUAGCAGUGAAAUGCGUAGAGAUAUGGAGGAACACCGAUGGCGAAGGCGGCCCCCUGGGCCAAUACUGACGCUCAUGCACGAAAGCGUGGGGAGCAAACAGGAUUAGAUACCCCCGUAGUCCCUGUCUCUUAUAC
rnacentral:rRNA from 1 species